AACGUAGGUGGCAAGCGUUAUCCGGAUUCACUGGGCGUAAAGCGCGUGCAGGUGGCUUUGUAAGUUGGACGUUAAAUCUUCCAGCCUAACUGGGAGUGGUCGUUCAAUACUGCAGGGCUUGAGGGCAGAAGAGGGGGGUGGAAUUGCCGGUGUAGUGGUGAAAUGCGUAGAUAUCGGCAGGAACACCUGUGGCGAAAGCGGCCCCCUGGUCUGCUCCUGACACUCAGACGCGAAAGCUAGGGUAG
rnacentral:rRNA from 1 species